UACAUGUGGGGCAAGCGUUGUUCGGAAUUACUGGGCAUAAAGGGUGCGUAGGCGGUUUGUUAAGUCACUGGUGAAAGUUUUCGGCCCAACCGGAAAAUUGCCUGUGAUACUGGCGAACUUGAGUGCGUGAGGGGUGGGGGGAACGAGCAGUGUAGCGGUGGAAUGCGCAGAUAUCAGGAGGAACACCGGUGGCGAAGGCAGCUCGCUGGGACGAUACUGACGCUGAGGCGCGAAAGCGUGGGGAGCAAACAGG
rnacentral:rRNA from 1 species